rnacentral:rRNA from 1 species
UACGAGAGGCCCAAACGUUAUACGGAAUUACUGGGCUUAAAGAGUUCGUAGGCGGCAUUGCAAGUAGGGUGUGAAAGCCCUCGGCUCAACCGAGGAAUUGCGCUCUAAACUGCAGUGCUUGAGGAACCUAGAGGUGAGCAGAACAGAUGGUGGAGCGGUGAAAUGCGUUGAUAUCAUCUGGAAUACCGGAGGCGAAGGCGGCUCACUGGGAGUUUUCUGACGCUGAGGAACGAAAGCCAGGGUAGCGAACGGG